rnacentral:rRNA from 1 species
GACGAACGCUGGCGGCGUGCUUAACACAUGCAAGUCGAACGAAGAGCGAUGGAAGCUUGCUUCUAUCAAUCUUAGUGGCGAACGGGUGAGUAACGCGUAAUCAACCUGCCCUUCAGAGGGGGACAACAGUUGGAAACGACUGCUAAUACCGCAUACGAUCUAAUCUCGGCAUCGAGGAUAGAUGAAAGGUGGCCUCUACAUGUAAGCUAUCACUGAAGGAGGGGAUUGCGUCUGAUUAGCUAGUUGGAGGGGUAACGGCCCACCAAGGCGAUGAUCAGUAGACGGUCUGAGAGGAUGAACGGCCACAUUGGGACUGAGACACGGCCCAGACUCCUACGGGAGGCAGCAGUGGGGAAUCUUCCGCAAUGGACGAAAGUCUGACGGAGCAACGCCGCGUGAGUGAUGACGGCCUUCGGGUUGUAAAGCUCUGUUAAUCGGGACGAAAGGCCUUCUUGCGAAUAGUGAGAAGGAUUGACGGUACCGGAAUAGAAAGCCACGGCUAACUACGUG